AGUCUUCUCACUCUACUCUUUUUAAAGGCUGAAUCUAUUUCCAAGGCUUUAGUUAUCAACUCUACAUGCUGAUGAUUGAAUUAUACUUAUCCUCUUCAAUUUCUAACCCCAAUUUUCAACUACCUCCUGGAUCUCUAUUCGAAUGUUCCUUGAGCCCUUCAAACUCAAACUGUCAGAAACUCAACACGUAUCUUUCUCACUUCUCUGCCCUAAAUUCCUAUUUCCUCUUUGCAAUCCAGAAUUACUUUUGGUAAUAAUAUCCACCCAGACACUUGUGCUAGAAAAUAGGACUGUUUCAUUUCUCUUUCUCACGACCCCCAUAUCCAAACAGUUGCCAAAUCCUUUUGGUAUCACCUUUCCCACUUAUCCUCUUCUUUCUAUUCCCAAUCAUUGCUGCUCAGUGGUCAGCCCUCAUGACAACAUAAAAGCCAUGAGGGAGCUCUUCAAGUUUGCAGUAUUUUCCUCUUCAAACCAUAUACUGAACAAAAACUAGAGUAAUCUUUCUUACAAUUAACAUGGGAUAAGUGCUUUAUCCACUUUUAAUUUCCUCACCUUUCAUCGCUUGCCCCUGUCCCAUACAACCUCCAAAUCUCCCAACAUCACAUGUAUGCCCACCGUCCCGUGCUUAGCAGGCCCUGUCCCACUUUUCCUGCUGUUUAAAUUAACCCUGCUGUGAGCUCCUUUCCACUGAUGCAUAAUCACCAUGUCCUUCCAAAGUACUUUGUUCAUACUAUUAGUAAAGCACCUAAGCACACUGUUAUAAUUAAGAGAAAAUUCUCGUCUCUCCUACUAAGUAGUAAAGUCAUGAGCUCUUGGACUGAUUCUUGCUUGUUUUUCUACCCUCAGUACCAGGUACAUAGCUGCAUUCAACAAGCGUUUGUUCAAAUGACGCCCCACCUGCCAUUUUACAGGCCAGCCUAUACGACCUCACUUCAUUUAGUCAUCCAUUGCCGCCUCUCGGAAAAUGUUCUAAGCCUGAAGUAAUUCUCUUCUAAGCAACUCUGGUCACUUCUUCCUGUUUUUGGAAUGCUACCUCCUCUACAAACCUUCUCCAACUACCUUAAAGACAGCUGGUUGAGGACUUGGUACCUAUAUGCGUGCUCACUACCCUCACCUGACUGCAGCAGCACUCCCAUGGCUGGACAGAGAGGAAACUGGAAAAAGGGCAGUUCUGACCUCAGGUCAUAUGGAAACCCUGAAAGCAGUAUGUGACUAUACUGUGUCUAGGCUAUUGCCUAACUCGCAAGAAAACAGAAAGUAGCAAUACUCCUCGUGGCAGGCAGGACAGUAAGGCAGCACAGCAAAACCAACCCUGCAUGGCAAAAGACUGAAAUCAGAAGCCACACAGUGAAUGCUGGCAGCACACAGUUUAAAACGAGAGAAGACAGGAUGGAAGAACAAUUUGGUGAAGAGGCUGAAGUGGUUCACCGCAGAUACAGUUCUGGCUUAGCAACUACUCGUAACAGGUAAUUCCGUCAUACAUUUCGUCUAUUUAAAUGUGAAACAAAAGUCCCUAUUUGAAAUAUUAAGUGAUACGGGAGAAAAACGAUCAAGAACUUUUGUCUUUCACAUAAUAACUAGAGAUUCUUGCUCAAAUCCUACUCAGUUCGGAUGUGAACCGGGCAUCAGCAAACUAUUGGGUUGUUGGAAAAGUCAUGAUGUAUUUUUUCUAUGUUUUUCGUUGCAAAAAUGCAUCAUGGCUUUUCCUACAACCCAAUACUUUUAGUGUAAUAAGCUGUUCCAGUUCCAGCUCUAGUCCAAAGACUAAAGGAUAAAGAACAGAUUGUGAGAAACAAGAGUAUAGUUGUAAGGGAAAAGGAAAAUAAAAGUAUUCUUUUUCCUACCAAUGACUUCUUAUGGUCUUUUACAGAACAGCCAUGUCUUUGAAACAUAAGUAAAAAUUAAUACAUGUUCAGAGUACUGACCUGCACUAUCCAGUAUGGUAGCCACAAGCCAUGUGUGGCUACUGAGCACCUGAAAUGUGGCUAGUCCACACUGAGAUGUACAGUAACUAUAGAAUACACACCAGAUUUCAAAGCCUUAGUACAAAAAAAAUUUAACUAUCUCAACAU